CAUUUACAUUAUCUGGGUUUAAGUUUUGUAUGGUUGAUUUAGUGGUCAUGUUUACUACAUUUAUUGUUGCACCAUUACCAAGACCCAGGUGGGGACUCAUGGCGUCUGGGUAGUAAAACUUGAUAUACAGUAUAUAUUG